GGAAGGGUAGCCCGUGGUUAGGGCAGGUGCCUACGACAUGGGAGACCUGGGUUUAAGUCCCUGCUCUUCUA
rnacentral:tRNA from 1 species